rnacentral:ncRNA from 19 species
CGACUCAAUUACUAUUAGUAAUGUCUGUGUGAUAUUAUCUGGCAUAGAGGUGUGGGACGUAGGGGGCAGUAUAAUUAUUUUGGUUUUAGUGUCCCUUGGUAGUUAGCAGGUACUAUUUAGUUUAGUACCUGCUAAUUACUAUAUGUUUUGUAGAAUAAGAUAG